UGGGGGAAACCCUGACCCAGCAACGCCGCGUGAGUGAUGAAGGCCUUCGGGUCGUAAAGCUCUGUCCUUGGGGACGAAGAAUGACGGUACCCAAGAAGAAAGCCACGGCUAACUACGUGCCAGCAGCCGCGGUAAUACGUAGGUGGCAAGCGUUGUCCGGAAUUACUGGGCGUAAAGGGCGAGUAGGCGGUAAUACAAGUCAGAUGUGAAAGGCGAGGGCUCAACCCUCGGAUUGCAUUUGAAACUGUAUGACUUGAGUGCGGUAGAGGAAAGUGGAAUUCCCAGUGUAGCGGUGAAAUGCGUAGAUAUUGGGAGGAACACCAGUGGCGAAGGCGACUUUCUGGGCCGUAACUGACGCUGAGGCGCGAAAGCGUGGGGAGCGAACAGGAUUAGAUACCCUGGUAGUCCACGCCGUAAACGAUGGAUGCUAGGUGUGGGAGGUAUCGACCCCUUCCGUGCCGGAGUUAACGCAAUAAGCAUCCCGCCUGGGGAGUAC
rnacentral:rRNA from 1 species